rnacentral:ncRNA from 2 species
UCCAAUCAAAUCUUCGACGCUCAUAUAAUCGCAGGGAUAUGGCCUGCAAGUUUCUACCGGUCUACCGUAAACGGACCGACUAUGAGAGGCAGACAGAUGUAA